rnacentral:rRNA from 1 species
UACAGAGGGUGCGAGCGUUAAUCGGAAUUACUGGGCGUAAAGCGCGCGUAGGCGGCUUUGCAAGUCGGGGUGUGAAAUCCCCAGGCUUAACCUGGGAACUGCAUUCGAGACUGCAUUGCUAGAGUAUGGGAGAGGGAAGUGGAAUUUCCGGUGUAGCGGUGAAAUGCGUAGAUAUCGGAAGGAACAUCAGUGGCGAAAGCGACUUCCUGGACCAAUACUGACGCUCAUGUGCGAAAGCGUGGGGAGCAAACAGG